GACGAACGCUGGCGGCGUGCUUAACACAUGCAAGUCGAACGGAAAGGCCCUGCUUUUGUGGGGUGCUCGAGUGGCGAACGGGUGAGUAACACGUGAGUAACCUGCCCUUGACUUUGGGAUAACUUCAGGAAACUGGGGCUAAUACCGGAUAGGAGCUCCUGCUGCAUGGUGGGGGUUGGAAAGUUUCGGCGGUUGGGGAUGGACUCGCGGCUUAUCAGCUUGUUGGUGGGGUAGUGGCUUACCAAGGCUUUGACGGGUAGCCGGCCUGAGAGGGUGACCGGCCACAUUGGUCCUGAGAUACGGCCCAGACUCCUACGGGAGGCAGCAGUGGGGAAUAUUGCACAAUGGGCGGAAGCCUGAUGCAGCAACGCCGCGUGCGUGAUGACGGCCUUCGGGUUGUAAACCGCUUUCGCCUGUGACGAAGCGUGAGUGACGGUAAUGGGUAAAGAAGCACCGGCUAACUACGUG
rnacentral:rRNA from 1 species